UGGCAAAGGAGUUUUUUUUUUUUUUUUCUUUCUGGGGAUCAAACUCAUGACCUCAUGCUUGCCAGACAGGUGGUCAGGAUGCUGAACUAAAUUCUCAGCCCCCACCUCUUUUUUUUUUGUUUUUGAGACAGCGUUUGCUAUGCAGUUUAGACUGGAUUUGAACUCACUUUGUAACCCAGGAUGGCCUCAAACUUGCACAUCAAUAUCCCUCCUUGGCCUCCUAAGUGCUGGGAUUACAGGCGUGUACCACCAUACCUGGCUUGGCAAACAUUCAGAUACGGUUGCAGCAUAUUUGUUUUAUGCAUGAACUUGGCCUACAUGAAGCCAGAUUUCGUAAGCUCUCAGCUUCAUACUAUUGCAUUUGAAGUUCUAGGUUUGGGUGAGAAGAGGGUCAUAUAUUGUGAAGAAGCCAAGAAACAUUUGUUUAAUGAGUUUUGAAAACUGUAUGUUGUUAUUUUGCUAAUAAAACAUUGGAGAAGUUAUU
rnacentral:lncRNA from 1 species